AGUGAACGCUGGCGGUAGGCCUAACACAUGCGAGUCGAACGGCAGCACAGUAAGAGCUUGCUCUUACGGGUGGCGAGUGGCGGACGGGUGAGGAAUACAUCGGAAUCUACUUUUUCGUGGGGGAUAACGUAGGGAAACUUACGCUAAUACCGCAUACGACCUACGGGUGAAAGCAGGGGAUCUUCGGACCUUGCGCGAUUGAAUGAGCCGAUGUCGGAUUAGCUAGUUGGCGGGGUAAAGGCCCACCAAGGCGACGAUCCGUAGCUGGUCUGAGAGGAUGAUCAGCCACACUGGAACUGAGACACGGUCCAGACUCCUACGGGAGGCAGCAGUGGGGAAUAUUGGACAAUGGGCGCAAGCCUGAUCCAGCCAUCCCGCGUGGGUGAAGAAGGCCUUCGGGUUGUAAAGCCCUUUUGUUGGGAAAGAAAAGCAGCAGGUUAAUACCCCGCUGUUCUGACGGUACCCAAAGAAUAAGCACCGGCUAACUUCGUG
rnacentral:rRNA from 1 species